rnacentral:rRNA from 1 species
GUACACUCCUACGGGAGGCAGCAGUGGGGAAUUUUGGACAAUGGGCGAAAGCCUGAUCCAGCAAUGCCGCGUGAGUGAAGAAGGCCUUCGGGUUGUAAAGCUCUUUUGUCAGGGAAGAAACGGUGAAAGCUAAUAUCUUUUGCUAAUGACGGUACCUGAAGAAUAAGCACCGGCUAACUACGUGCCAGCAGCCGCGGUAAUACGUAGGGUGCAAGCGUUAAUCGGAAUUACUGGGCGUAAAGCGUGCGCAGGCGGUUUUGUAAGUCUGAUGUGAAAUCCCCGGGCUCAACCUGGGGAUUGCAUUGGAGACUGCAAGGCUAGAAUCUGGCAGAGGGGGGUAGAAUUCCACGUGUAGCAGUGAAAUGCGUAGAUAUGUGGAGGAACACCGAUGGCGAAGGCAGCCCCCUGGGUCAAGAUUGACGCUCAUGCACGAAAGCGUGGGGAGCAAACAGGAUUAGAAACCCCGGUAGUCCCAUGAU